AUAGAUAGUAGAGGAAGGGGAUUGGAAACGGGAUCACGUGAGCUUAUGCUUGCAAUGUAAGGCCUCUGGGACCGUGCGCGUGGCAACCUAUGACACCUUGAGGUGUGAUUUUACUGGUUUUGAGGUCAAGAGAAGCUUUUGAAAAGAAGCAAAUGAGAGGAUACUAGUGUCGAUGUGUGGCAAGAACUUGGACUGAGAAAUCACUGGAAGAACAUUGAUAAUUCAUGUAUAAUUAUGUUUAGAUCAUGCUUAUACCUUUUAUUGAUUGUUCAUUGUUGUCUAUG